rnacentral:misc_RNA from 1 species
CUAGAAGUUUGGUAACGGUUGGGUAAAGACUCCGGUAAAGGAUCUUCGUCCCGCCUACCAAUCUCCAACCCUUGUGGUUAAUGCUAUAACGUUGCUUUGGCGGGGGUUUAACGGCCCUCGCCAAAAGACAUAACCAAACUCUUGAAUCAAUUUAACCCGUCAAGGCCUCUGGUCUUAACAACAAUCAUGAA